UACAGAGGUCUCAAGCGUUGUUCGGAUUUAUUGGGCGUAAAGAGCUUGUAGGCGGGUUGUCGCGUCUGCUGUGAAAUUUCGGGGCUCAACCCCGAACUUGCAGUGGGUACGGGCAGACUAGAGUGUGGUAGGGGAGACUGGAAUUCCUGGUGUAGCGGUGAAAUGCGCAGAUAUCAGGAGGAACACCGAUGGCGAAGGCAGGUCUCUGGGCCAUAACUGACGCUGAGAAGCGAAAGCAUGGGGAGCGAACAGG
rnacentral:rRNA from 1 species